rnacentral:rRNA from 1 species
AGAGUUUGAUCCUGGGCUCAGAACGAACGCUGGCGGCGUGCUUAACACAUGCAAGUCGAACGUGAUCCAGAGCUUGCUCUGGUGAAAGUGGCGCACGGGUGAGUAACGCGUGGAUAACCUGCCCUGGUAUCUGGGAUAACAUCUCGAAAGGGGUGCUAAUACCGGAUAAGCCUACGGGAUCUUCGGAUUCUGCAGGAAAAGGAGGCCUCUAUUUAUAAGCUUCCGUAUCAUGAUGGGUCCGCGUACCAUUAGCUAGUUGGUGGGGUAAUGGCCUACCAAGGCGACGAUGGUUAGCUGGUCUGAGAGGAUGAUCAGCCACACUGGAACUGAGACACGGUCCAGACUCCUACGGGAGGCAGCAGUGGGGAAUUUUGCGCAAUGGGGGAAACCCUGACGCAGCAACGCCGCGUGAGUGAUGAAGGCUUUCGGGUCGUAAAGCUCUGUCAGAGGGGAAGAAAUGGAAACGGUUAAUACCCGUUUUUCUUGACGGUACCCUCAAAGGAAGCACCGGCUAACUCCGUGCCAGCAGCCGCGGUAA